AAAAAAAAAAAGAGAGGGAGAGAAAGAAUGUUUGAAAAACCGUUGCUGUCAUGAAAUGCACUAACUUCUCACUAGCAGUCUAAAUAAACCUCUCCUUCCCACGGCAGCCCUCUUACACACAUACCUGUCUAUUACCCAGGGAGCCAAUGGCUUUGCAAACCUGAGACACCCAGAAACUCAGCACAGGUGUGGGUUAAGGCCCCACAGCCCUGGCUUGACUGCUGAUAGCUACAGACAAAAGGGGAGCCUUUCUGGGCUGGGUGGGAAGAGGUCACCCAGAGAAGCGGGAGCCCCUCUUCAGCUUCCUCUACCACCCCCCCAGGUUUCCCCUGAGAAAGCCAGCUGCCAUCUGUAGCCAGGAAGCCCUCACAAAGACCAGGGGUGGGGGGCAUGAUUUAGAUGUUUUGUGCUACACCUAGCACACCCCAGCCCUUAACAAAUGCUCGGGGCUUCCACUACGAUGGGAGCCAUUGAAAGCAGCCCUGUGGGGGGACUUGGCCUCUCGAGGGGAUUCUGCUGACCAAAAUGCUCCUUACAAGGUUGUGCCUCAGACCCUUUGUUAGCGUGGACGUGGGUGAGCCCAGGGGGUCAUGUCUUCAUCUGCCUCCAUUUAUCCUCCCUAUUGAAGGGCUCCUUCAGGACAUUGGUCAGUCUCUGUGGGAAGUGAUUUGGAGAGCAACAAAAGAACUUGGGCCCUUUGGGGGGGGCCUUCAGAAUUCAGUAAACAUCUGGACACGGAAGGCCAGGUUCUCAAGCAGUCUAGCUGGGGAGAUGUCAAAAGAGAGAAAAAGCUGUGUGUGCCACGCAAGCUUUUAGUCCUCUGGCAACAUUUGUGGUCGAAAAACACAGACGCCCCAGUAGGUAGAUAGGAAGAUUUUUCAGAAGCUCCUCUAUUUGUCGGUUUUUGUGAGCGCAGUGCACUAUUUGUCAGUGCUCGUGGCAUGUGUGAGGAAACUGAAGUUCCUCAUGGCUACGGAGUAGCAUGUGACGGAUCUUCUGAUUCUGUACGGACUGUGAAUAACCCAAGGUUGCAUAAGCCUGUCCUGGGAAUUGUUGUUAAGCGUUUCUGUCAUCCUUGAGAUUUGUAAACCACUUUCUAGCCAAGGUGAUUUGUUGGCUGCUCAUCAUGAGCACAUUUUAAUUGACAAAAAAAUGAAGUACCGAGGCUAAGUGAUUUACACUUCAUCACACGAUAAACUUCAGGAUCUGAACUCUUGACUCUCAAUGUUCCCUUUAUUGUUGAAUCAAUCCAUUUAGAACACAUUAGUCAGCAUGAUUCAACAUUAGUCACAUGGCGCUAAUCAGCAUUCCACAGCGCGCCCAAAUCUAUCCUCAAACAGCAAAAGAAACUGGCUUCUGUCAGGAGACAAUGGAAUGCCAUUUUCGUCGGUAUUCAGGAGCUGACAUCCAGUUCAACCUAUCUCGUCAGAGCACCAUGGUUUACAAAGGAUAGAUGCUUGAGAAAUACCUGCUUAACUGAACUCACUGAAAUGGAGCUUAAGUCAUAUUCCAGAAAGAACUCCAAGUCCUUUUGGAAGAGGUCUUCAAAGAAAAUCAACAACCUGAAUUGAUUUAACUUCUUUUGAUAUUAUUACCUGGGCAUUUUCACAAAUGCAAACUGUUAAUUGUGAAAGAUAGCCAAAUGGCUUCCCGGUUCUAAAAGAGGAGCGUGGAUCUAGUCUAACUACAGUCCAGGCCUUGGAAUAAAGUUGUUCUCUUUUCCAAGUGACA